rnacentral:rRNA from 1 species
CAGAGGGUGCGAGCGUUGUUCGGAAUUACUGGGCGUAAAGCGCGCGCAGGCGGCCCCUUAAGUCUGUCGGUCAAAUGCCGGGGCUCAACCCCGGGCGUGCCGAGGAUACUGGAGGGCUGGAGACACGUAGAGGCAAGCGGAAUUCCGGGUGUAGCGGUGGAAUGCGUAGAGAUCCGGAAGAACACCGGAGGCGAAGGCGGCUUGCUGGGCGUGAUCUGACGCUGAGGCGCGAAAGCGUGGGGAGCGAACAGGAUUAGAUACCCUGGUAGUCCACGCCGUAAACGAUGGGCACUAGACGCUGGUGGGAUCGACCCCUUCGGUGUCGCAGCUAACGCGAUAAGUGCCCCGCCUGGGGAGUACGGCCGCAAGGCUG